GAUGAACGCUGGCGGCGUGCCUAAUACAUGCAAGUCGAGCGAACAGAUGAGGAGCUUGCUCCUCUGACGUUAGCGGCGGACGGGUGAGUAACACGUGGAUAACCUACCUAUAAGACUGGUAUAACUUCGGGAAACCGGAGCUAAUACCGGAUAAUAUAUUGAACCGCAUGGUUCAAUAGUGAAAUACGGUUUUGCUGUCACUUAUAGAUGGAUCCGCGCCGCAUUAGCUAGUUGGUAAGGUAACGGCUUACCAAGGCAACGAUGCGUAGCCGACCUGAGAGGGUGAUCGGCCACACUGGAACUGAGACACGGUCCAGACUACUACGGGAGGCAGCAGUAGGGAAUCUUCCGCAAUGGGCGAAAGCCUGACGGAGCAACGCCGCGUGAGUGAUGAAGGUCCUCGGAUCGUAAAACUCUGUUAUUAGGGAAGAACAAAUGUGUAAGUAACUAUGCACGUCUUGACGGUACCUAAUCAGAAAGCCACGGCUAACUACGUG
rnacentral:rRNA from 1 species